AAGUUAUGAAUCAAGAACUUUUUAAACAUAUUCUCCCUUCUUUUCAUCUCUCCUUUAUUGACAAAAAGCUAAUGUAUCACUGAGAUGAAGUGGAUCGGUUCUGAGUUGUGAUAAACCUGUGUGCUGCUGUCUGAAUUGAUAUAGUUCAGCCCUGUGAAUCUUUAAGAGAUGCACUGAGAGUGGAAUGAGAUCAUCUACCUGAAAUUAUCUGUUUUGAGAUUCAAUGGCUGCAGAGAGUGGGUGAAAAUCUUCGCGAACACUUGCUUCAGGAAAAGGAAGUAUGGUGAGCAUGACUGAAAAGGCAGCCAUGGCUUUUCAAUGUGAUAUAUAGGUCCAUUACACCUUACAGGAACAGCCACUGGUAGUAGCAAAAAUACAGGCAGGUUUAAGUAACUAGGCUGCACUAGCAGCAUUUUCAGCCAAGCAAAGGAAUUGUGUCACAAACUAGCACUUGUCUUUCUGUUUUUGUUCUCUGCCUUUUUCAGAAUUUGCUGCUAAGCUAGAACCUGUCCCUUCCUUCUCUACAGCUCACCUGUGACUUGAACAGUUUUGUGAUGGAUCAGAUAACACACAAUGUAGAUAAACAGCAAUCCUGCAUCUCUCACGUUAGUUUUAAUGGUGCUAUCCACUGUGUUUCAUUGUGUGCUUUGGCUCAAAAGGUGAAAUGAGUCUGCUUUUCUGUAAAAAUUAACUGGCAGUGCUCAGUAAUUCAGUAAUCAGUAUUUGGUAACUGGUAUUUUUAUUAAGUUCAAUAUGGCUUUCAACCCGAAAGCCCAGCCUUGAAUGCAGUGCUUAGUAAUGCCACUUGUUUACAUACAGUUUUACAUCCCAUUCACUUUUGUCUGAUUCUUACAGCUUUAAGUGCACUGAGAGAGCAGUGAGAAUGACAUGAAGUCAGUGUGCUUUCUGACCCAUAUAAGGCAGAACUAGAUGCUUACUGUGCUCUUUUAGGGUGAAUACCUGGGGUGGAGCUUUAAGUCUGUCUUCUGAUGCCAGGCAUUAUGUUUUAUAUGUUAUUUCAUUUCUAGAGCCCUGGUUGUGCAGCUUUAAGUCUGUCUUCUGAUGCCAGGCAUUAUGUUUUAUAUGUUAUUUCAUUUCUAGAACCCUGUUUGUGCAUCAUGAUCUGGGUGCAGUACAGAGGAGAUUCAGCUAUCUCUUCCUACUCCUCUGUUCCCCAGCUCUCAGACUUCCUCUUCUCCUCAGCCACCAGGCAAUGAAAAUGCUCUGGCAGGGUACUUUAAAUAUAUUAUUGCUUCUGGGCUUUUUGCUGAUUGGAAGGAGUUGUGCAGUAAAAAGGUGCAGAGAUGUUAGUGUGAUAAAUGGGAAUAUAUAGACCGGGAUGCUUGGCAGGGCUGAAAAAAUACUGUCAUGUGCAUUCAAGAUGGAAGGGAAGGGAGGGGAGGGAGACACGAGCUGUUCAAGAGAGCGGCAGCCACCUACAAACCUAAUCCAAAUAAGCAGAGGGACGUACCCCUCCGGUUUGCACCAUCACAGAAGGAUCAAAGAGAAUAGCAGCCCUUGCUGGGUCCGUAUGAGCCCGUGCCACAGAGCCCCCCCUCAGCGGGAGCAGGCCCGGCAGGGGCCCGGGUCACCUCGCCGUCCCCUCGGCCCAGCGCCGCGGCUGCGGCUGGGGGUGGGCAGGAGCAACACGCCGCAGCCUCAAAGGCUGGAGCAGCCAAUGCACUUCUCCAAGGCCGACACAGAGCUCCAGGAGACAGCGAGGCUGCCUGAGGCACCGUGCCUCCCGGAGCUCCUGCCGAGCGGCGCGGCUCUGCAUCCCAAUGCUGGGCCGCCACCGUGACACACGACCCGGGCCGGCUGAGGGAAGGAGCCCGCUUGGCACAUUAUUAUGCAUCCUCUUUAGGACUCCAGGGGAGGCACGGCGUUCAGCUGGACUUCUACUGGAUGAAAACUGAAAAUAUCUGUAAAUGAUUAAAAUGAGAUCCCUGGAGAUAAUUGCAAUACCACAAUCUUGCUGAACUUUCACUAGCUCCAUCACCUCCAUCACAGCCUCUACAACCAAUGUUAUCUCCCAGAAGAGGGAGCAUAUAAUUAGAGAAAAGUUUAAAUUGAUGCAAGGAUUUGAGGAGCUAAAAGGCCACUCAUAGCUGAACAAGACACUUAAAACUUUAAAACAACCUCCUGAAGGGAAAAAUGGACAAUCCCAAAGUGAAACCAAGAUUAUCACAUUAAGCGACUCCAAUAUUGUAAAGCUGAGAACAGGUGCAAGAGGAACGCCUGCAGCCACAGCUGAUAACAUUCACGGAGUGUGCCAGUGGUUCUGCCAUUGAAUGGAAAUGAGAAGACUGGGAGAUGUCAGGGAAAUAUAUUUUGCUCAUGACAUCUCACUGUCUAAGAGUCCUCCAGAUGUUGGGUGAUGUCCUUGUCAGUGCACUAAUGCUCUCAGCUCCUAAAACCCAGUAUCACUUAUUUUUAUGUGGUGGAAGCAGCUGCUAGAAAAGCUCAGGCAUGUUAGAGACACUCCAGAGGGAAUAUUUCCUUUGCCUCUUCUAGAGCUGCAGGUCCUCAUAAGAUAGCACACACUACAAUGUCAUUCAGUGGCUUAGAAAAAUCUGCCUGGCCCAUAAAACAUUCCCAGUUUAGAAUUUCCUAGGUGUAUCUAGUACAAGGGGUGCAAAAAUUAUAUUUCAUAAUUUCCCAAACAGAUGAGAAAUUUCUGGAAUUGAACAGUUCUGUUCAGUCCUUUACUCUUUAUAAAUUUAUGAGUGGGUUUGUGGCCUGUCACUAAUAGGUCUCUAAAUUAAUAAGCUGACAUGUAUUGCAACACUCUCUAGGGCAAACUUCCUUCAAGUUUAGAGUCAAGUGACCUGCCUUAUGUCAUGAUGUGGAUUCAUCCUUAGCAAAGGAUGGAAUUUUCAGCCUGCUUUUUGUUCUGUGAUAGUUUACAAUAAGUCAGCUUCUCAUUCUGUGUCAUCAGUUAAUAUUAAAAG